rnacentral:rRNA from 2 species
GGCGGCAGGCCUAACACAUGCAAGUCGAACGGUAACAGGAAGCAGCUUGCUGCUUCGCUGACGAGUGGCGGACGGGUGAGUAAUGUCUGGGAAACUGCCUGAUGGAGGGGGAUAACUACUGGAAACGGUGGCUAAUACCGCAUAACGUCGCAAGACCAAAGAGGGGGACCUUCGGGCCUCUUGCCAUCAGAUGUGCCCAGAUGGGAUUAGCUAGUUGGUGAGGUAACGGCUCACCAAGGCGACGAUCCCUAGCUGGUCUGAGAGGAUGACCAGCCACACUGGAACUGAGACACGGUCCAGACUCCUACGGGAGGCAGCAGUGGGGAAUAUUGCACAAUGGGCGCAAGCCUGAUGCAGCCAUGCCGCGUGUAUGAAGAAGGCCUUCGGGUUGUAAAGUACUUUCAGCGGGGAGG